AUAAAGGCACCACAUCCUGAUACCAGCAAACAUGACCGCAAUAGCCAUGUGCUUGCACAUGUGCUUGCACAGUGCUUGCACCCACUUCCCCUCGCUGAUCAGCAUAAAGAAAGCAUGAUGGCAAGAUAUGGACAAGAUAUUCCUAGGUCUGCUGCUGCUGUGAUAAAGGACAAUUUUAUAAAGUUUGUGAUGUGGAGGAUCACCUGGAUUUAACUCCAAUGUACCAUAGACUGGCACUACAUUUGUGCACAAUGACUAUUUGUUACAAUGCCAUUAUGUAUUCCACAGAUACCGAGAAGCAUCCUCAGGUGAAUAUUCAAUUCACAUGGAUCCUUACCAGGAUCAUUUGGCCUCACCACAGUGUGCUUUCAAUAAUGCCAUAAUUCUUCUGAAGCAUCAUACUACAUGCCUAUAUUAAUAAUAGCUUAUGUGACAUGAGUGAUCUACUGCUGUGAUUCUCAUGAACUCUUGGGCGCCUUAGAAUACAAUUUGCAAAUGAAGUUGAUUCAAUAAAAUGUGUGACAUCUCAAAUUAUUUGAGACUAA